UUUGAGCUUCAUUCGUGUGUCCAGUUCUCUGCUGCCUGCCAUGGCGAUGUCACCUUCCUGCUUCCCCUUUCCAUCCACAAAAUCCUUUGCGAAACUCAUCACUCCCUCUGUCACCAUCAAUACCUUCCGCUCCCCUCAUUUUACUUUCCCUUCUUCAUUUCUCUGCUCCCUUCCUUAUCCCCUCUCUAUAUCUUAUUCACCCCAUUUGUUUUCUCACCUUUCACAUGAGGAAUGUAGAGGAAAUAGGGUUUUCAGAGUAGCAGCGGUUGCGGAAGAGGAGGCGAGCCCAAUUGUGGAGGAAGUUAUAGACGAAAAUGGGGAGAAUCAUUCACCAAAGUAUGAAGUGAGACCAUGUAAGCUCUAUGCUUGCAAUCUUCCGAGGAGCUGCGACAUUGCUCAGCUUUCAGAAAUAUUCCAGCCAUUUGGCACCGUUCUUGCUGUUGAGGUUUCACGGAAUAAAGAGACGGGAGAAAGCCGUGGAUGCGGUUAUGUUACAAUGAACUCUUUGGCCGAAGCGAAAUCCACCAUAGCUUCUUUGGAUGGCUCUGUAUGUAGUGCAUCUCAGAAUAUCUGCUUCGAUUUGCGUGGGCGUGAGAUGUGCAUAAGAUUUGCUGCGGAUAUGAGUUCUACAAACCGUAACCAGGAGGCUUUCACUUCUAUGACCAAGAAGAACUUGGUCUUUGAGAGUCCUCAUAAAUUGUACAUUGGUAAUGUGCCAUGGGCUGUGAAACCUGAAGAUGUGAGGGAACAUUUUACUCAAUUUGGUAAUGUGGUGAGUGCAAGGCUGUUAUAUGAUCGAAAAGCAGGGAGGAAUCGUGUUUAUGGGUUUGUCUCUUUCUCGUCAGAGACAGAACUUGAGGCUGCAUUAUCUUUUGAUGGAAAGGAGUUUCAUGGACGCACAAUGUUAGUCAGAUUAGUCAAUAGAAGGAGCGAGCCAUGAUUGCUCUGUUAGUUUCUCUGUCUGAGAGAUACUUUCUGGCACUUUUUGCUUCUUAUAGUCGCUGACGAUGACAAACUCUGCAGCAUGCUCUCACUAUAGCUGUUGGCCGGAAAACAGAGCCAGAUCAAAUGUAAACCUAAGCUGUGAACUUGUUGAGGCCAGUUGAGUUUUUGGGCUUGCGAAUUAUCUAGAUGCAUAAUUAUGAGUUUUCAGACCAGUUUAAAAGUAUAAGGCAAUGCCUGUUUCAAGCCCAUUUUGUUCGGGGAUAUGAGGAAAGCAAUCGUGACGAAUAAUACGAUGGAAAAAAAUAUGCUGUGCAAAGUACAUAGCAGAGAAGUUUGGUGAAACUUGAACUUUGAGAUGCCAAAUUUUUUCUGGAAAGAAACCCAGAGGGAAAAUAAUGGGCAAAAAUGUUCUGAAGCUGUGAACUGAAAGAAAAUGAAAACUUAAAAGUUCUUGGGCAUUCAUUUGGAGAUCAUAGGCAUAAAGAAACUGGGAAUGAAAGGCAAAAGCACCCUGGUGGUGUAUAUUGAGAGAUCUGGGGCUCCUUAGGAGAUAAUUCAAAAGGGAAUGAAAGUUGGGACAGUAUAAGGUUUCAGAUACAACGUUAUUACGGGAUUUAUUUUUGUGGAAGAAAAAGGGCAUGACAGAGAGGGUGAUGUGGGGUAAGAAUGAGUUGCAAAAGAAGGCAUGUGGCUGAGUGACCUGGUGAGAUAGGGUUUAUGGAGGAGUUUUGAUUGAAGGAUGGAGUUUGAGAGAGAUCGAAAGAAGAAAGAUUAGGCAUUCAAGACUCCGUAUUUCAGAGCAUUCCUGCAGGAAGAAAAAAGAAAAAAGAAAGAAGGAGAUUUGAGGACCUAGAGUUAGGGUUUUCGAGAGCUCAAGAAAGAAAAGGUGAGUUUUGGAUUUUGAGGCAGUGACAAAGGAAAGUAUAAUGGAGUUUGCAUCAGAGAAGAUCUUGAGAAUUCUGUAGUGCGACAAGAAAGGAGAUACUCAAAAAAUGAAUCUGUUACCGAACAAAUACAACAGUCUGUGGCUAGUAAUUCUGGGUGAUGUUUGGUCUAGACAACCUUCUGAUUCAUGUACUUGUGAUCAAAGUAGACCUAGUUCAGUUGAUUUUUCUGAUCAAAGUAGACCUAGUUCAGUUGAUUUUUCUGGUGAAUGUUUCCUAACAUUCUUGUUUUAUAUAUAUUGGUAAUUUUUAUAAUAUUCUUCAGUUCAUUCACUGACCCACAUGAAUGGGCAAAAGCAGAUAUGAGAUGACUUUCAAGGAAGGUGAAAUGAACAAGGAAUGGCUCUUGCUGCUACUUUGAUCACCUUAUUAUUAUUAUUAUUAUUAUUAAUUUUCUUUUUUCAUUGAUAUGGGUGUCGAUAUUGAUUAUGAUAUUGAUAUUAUUCUUUCAAUGGUUAUUGCAA